CUCACAGCCAGCUCUUCCUGUUGGCCUCAGGAGGAGGGCUUCCGGCUCCAGCUUCCCGAUGAAAGAAAACACCUCAGUAUGUUUGCAACAACUUGGGUCGUCAGUCUACUCUGUCAACUGCACGUUUUAUGAAAUCUAAACGUGGAUCACCUGUGGCCGUGAAAUGUCAGCAUCCGAACGGAGCUGUGCUGUGGCUCUCAGAAAAUGCUCAAUGCCAUCUGUGGCUGGCGUUCUAUUUCUAUUGGCGAGCGCUGCUCUGGAGUCUGGAAAGAGGGGGAAGCAGAGGUUGCGGGGUGUCCACUCAGACACCCACCCUCAGGGGCCUCCUCCUUGACCCCCGUCCCUCCUCCUGGGCACCCGCCCGGGGCACGACAGCAUCGGCUACAGCAGCGGGAACCCCGCGGUUCUCCGCUCUCCCCGUGAGCAUCUAUGAAGCUCCUAGAAAUCCUGAGACUGGAAACAUGGUCACAAACCAAGUGGCCCUAACGGGGACGGCAGACACAGACCACGCACAUCGGGGGCCGCGCGCAGCUUCUCCACAUAAACCGCUUUUCUGAUUCCCCCCGACUUUCCCCGCGAGCGCCCAUUAUAAAGCCACUGUGCGGGGCGGGCGGGAGAGGACAAUGCGGGAAGGGGACACGUGUGAUACUUUCAGCAA